rnacentral:misc_RNA from 1 species
GCAACAAAAAUCAACUAGGAGCAUAGAAAGACUUGGUAAGCACAACUUGGUUUGGGGUGGAUUUGACCUAACCCAUCAGGUUUUAAAGCUAGAGGCGUCGGAAUGGUUUUCUAACCGGGGGAAUAGGCAGAUCAGCAAUUGGAGAGCUGUUGGAAUUGAUUAGAUGCUGGAAAAAUCUGGAAAUUUUACGGGUCUAAAUUU